CUCGUGCUCUUCUUGCCCCUGGAGCGCUGGGGGCAUCCUGAGUCAGGCUGUGAGAAGAUUCGCCACCAGAGGGCGCCCCGGGCCCUGGGUCGUCCAAGGGGACAAGGACGUUCCCGUCUGUGCUUCGGGGUUCCCUGACCCCCCCAUCCUGCAGCCCACCUUCCUGCAGUGUCGUGGCAGGUCUGUCUUGCAGCCGAUGAGCACCAUGGGGAUCCCGCGGCAGAAAUGCGUGACCUCAGGGAACCACUGUGGAGGGAGGAGGCGGGAUCAGGGGUGCGGCCGGGCCCAGAUGUGGGGCCACCACCCAGGAGGCCGGCCUCACCUUGAUGAGGACGUUGUCGUAGCUGGUGGGAUUCAUGACGUCAUAGCAGAUGAGCACGAGGUGGGUGUUCUGGUAGGACAGGGGCCGCAGCCGGUCAUAGUCUUCUUGCCCUGAAAGCACAGAGCAGCGGGGGUCAGGGGACGUCCCCUCCCUGUCUGGACUCUGACGGGUGAAGGGGAAGGGGCCAGGCAAGUGACCCUGCCUUAGGGCCUCAAUUUCCUCAUCUAUACAAUGGGCAGCAAGCCAGGAGUGCUGGCACAGGCCUGUGGUCGCAGCUACUCGGGAGGCUGAGGCCGGAGGAUCGCUUGAGCCCAGGAGGUCAAGGCUACAGUGAGCCGUGAUCAUGCCACUGCACUCCAGCCUGGGUGACAGAGCGAGACCCUGUCUCUUAACAACAAAACCCAUGAGCGGCAGCCCCCCAGUCCUGGAUGGUGGUAAAGAAUCCUCAAGAUCAAACCCACGCAGUGCUGAGAGCUUGGCCUGAUUCUAGGGCUGGGGCUGGAGAAACUGCUAGAGAUGAUGCCGAUAGCCAGUGUGAUCCCCCUGCCCUGAUGGUCAAGGGCAGAGUGCAGACUGGAACCCUCCCCUCCCCAAAGAUUCAGACCUGUGGGGCUGAGUGGGCUCAUAGUGUCCCCAAGUCCUGAGAGGCUGGUGUCUGGCUUCAGCCUCCAGCUUCUCAGGUUCUGAUGCAGUCAGCUGAGUUCCCUGCCUAUUCUUGCAAGCACUAGGAGGAGGGUGGUGGGUUGCUGGGAACAGCACCGAGCGCCCUCCCCACCCAGAUUCACAGAGCACACUCCCUGGGGGGAUACUUUAAUCCGGAGGCCGUGACGCCUGGCUCCGCCCCGAGACGAGCUGAAUCCAAAUACGGAUCUAGGCUUGAGCUUGGUUGGGUUUGCUUUUUUCUUCUUCUUCUUUAUAAACAAUUCUUUGUAACUUUUUGUAUUGACAGUUUCAAACUUACAGUAAAAUUGCAACACGAGUAUGAAGAGCUCUCUGACUGUGAUUCACCACCUGUUUGCAUUGGCCCCUCUGACUUUAUCUGGAGACAGACACUUCUGUUUCUCCCUGUCAGGGCACGGUAACUGUAGACAUCUGCCUCUUCACCCCUUAGCUCAGCGCCUAUCUGCUGAGAACAAGGGCGUUCUCUCCCCUGCCCCAAGCCCCCAGAAACCGCAUGGACUCUGCAUUCUAAUCUGAUCCACAGACCAUAGUCAGAUUUUGACCAUUUCACCAAUAUUGUCCUUUAUUUUUUUCCCCGUUGAGGAGCCAGCCCAGCCCAGGGUUCUACACUGCACUUAGUCAUCCUGCCCCGGUAUUUUUUUAAAAUCCCCACAGUGAGAACUGAGAGCUUUUCAGGCUCAUUGGUGACCAGCCCCCCGCCCCUCCACUUCCUUCCACUGAACAAGGAACGUGGAGGCCCAGGAAUCCCCCUGCCCUGUCCGCAGCUGUUGCAGGUGCUGGGUGGCACCAGCCUGCCCCCCGUUCCUUCUCUGCCAGACACCUCUCAGGACAAGUGGCCUCUCCACGGAGUACCACCAGGCCAUGUCUGCUCCUAACCCCUUGCUGGUGAUGGGGCAUGGCCACCCUCUCCCCACUGGAUCCCCCUCAACCCAGGGACCUCCAAAAGUCUUCAGCCAGCUCCCCCAUGGAACAGUGCUUAAGGGUGAGGUCACUAGAGACAGAUGAGACACAUGUUCAAAUCCCAGCUCUGCCCUCACUGGCUGUGUGACCUUGACUUAGACAGGACAGUGGUGGGAGUCUUGGCUUCCCCAUCUGGGACAUGAAAAUCAUAAAAUCUACCUCACGGGGCUGUCACCAGCCAAGGCACACCAUUGCACUCCAGCCUGGGUGACAAGAGCGAAACUCUGUCUCAAAAAAAAUAAAAAUAAAAAUAAAAAAUGAAUUAACAUAAAGCAUUC
rnacentral:lncRNA from 1 species